GAGAAUGGAAUCAAAAUAGAGGCCGCCUCUGAAAGGUUCCAGUUAAUGUCCACUGGAAUAAGCAUUUUCAUCAACCUCUUCAGCAAUAGCUCCAAAUGGACUGGCUGUUGGGUUUCACAGGAAACCAGGUUUGGAGAGAAGGGUGCAAACUUUGAGGAAAUGUCUGAGUCAGAAGGAAAUUUCAUCAAAUGACACAUCAGACUGCAGUCACAGAGAUGUGUUAGCCAAAAGAUGGAGUUGAGUCCUUGCUGGGAGACUGGGGUUUUCAAGAUGAAGCCCUCAAA